rnacentral:rRNA from 1 species
CCGGCGACCGGCGCACGGGUGAGUAACACGUAUGGAACCUGCCCUAUGCAGGGGGAUAAGCCGGAGAAAUCCGGUCUAAUACCGCAUGACGCGGGAAGGGCGCAUGCCUUUUCCGCCAAAGGAGGCGACUCCGGUGCCGGCUGGGCACGCGUGACAUUAGCUAGUUGGCGGGGCGACGGCCCACCAAGGCGACGAUGUCUAGGGGUUCUGAGAGGAAGGUCCCCCACACUGGUACUGAGACACGGACCAGACUCCUACGGGAGGCAGCAG